rnacentral:rRNA from 1 species
UACGGAGGAUGAGAGCGUUAUCCGGAUUUACUGGGUGUAAAGGGAGCGUAGACGGCACCGCAAGUCCGGAGUGAAAGCCCAAGGCUUAACCAUGGGACUGCUCUGGAAACUGGCUGGCUUGAGUUGGGGAAAGGCAGGCGGAAUGCGCGGUGUAGCGGUGAAAUGCAUAGAUAUCGCGCAGAACCCCGAUUGCGAAGGCAGCCUGCCGGCCCCACACUGACGCUGAAGCACGAAAGCGUGGGUAUCGAACAGG